rnacentral:rRNA from 1 species
AUGAACGCUCGGCGUGCCUAAUACAUGCAAGUCGAGCGAACGGACGAGAAGCUUGCUUUUCUGAUGUUAGCGGCGGACGGGUGAGUAACACGUGGAUAACCUACCUAUAAGACUGGGAUAACUUCGGGAAACCGGAGCUAAUACCGGAUAAUAUUUUGAACCGCAUGGUUCAAAAGUGAAAGACGGUCUUGCUGUCACUUAUAGAUGGAUCCGCGCUGCAUUAGCUAGUUGGUAAGGUAACGGCUUACCAAGGCAACGAUGCAUAGCCGACCUGAGAGGGUGAUCGGCCACACUGGAACUGAGACACGGUCCAGACUCCUACGGGAGGCAGCAGUAGGGAAUCUUCCGCAAUGGGCGAAAGCCUGACGGAGCAACGCCGCGUGAGUGAUGAAGGUCUUCGGAUCGUAAAACUCUGUUAUUAGGGAAGAACAUAUGUGUAAGUAACUGUGCACAUCUUGACGGUACCUAAUCAGAAAGCCACGGCUAACUACGUG